AGUGAACGCUGGCGGUAGGCCUAACACAUGCAAGUCGAACGGCAGCACAGUAAGAGCUUGCUCUUACGGGUGGCGAGUGGCGGACGGGUGAGGAAUACAUCGGAAUCUACUUUUUCGUGGGGGAUAACGUAGGGAAACUUACGCUAAUACCGCAUACGACCUACGGGUGAAAGCAGGGGAUCUUCGGACCUUGCGCGAUUGAAUGAGCCGAUGUCGGAUUAGCUAGUUGGCGGGGUAAAGGCCCACCAAGGCGACGAUCCGUAGCUGGUCUGAGAGGAUGGUCAGCCACACUGGAACUGAGACACGGUCCAGACUCCUACGGGAGGCAGCAGUGGGGAAUAUUGGACAAUGGGCGCAAGCCUGAUCCAGCCAUACCGCGUGGGUGAAGAAGGCCUUCGGGUUGUAAAGCCCUUUUGUUGGGAAGGAAAAGCAGCAGGUUAAUACCCCGCUGUUCUGACGGUACCCAAAGAAUAAGCACCGGCUAACUUCGUG
rnacentral:rRNA from 1 species